CCUACGGGAGGCUGCAGUGGGGAAUAUUGGACAAUGGGCGAAAGCCUGAUCCAGCCAUGCCGCGUGUGUGAAGAAGGCCUUCGGGUUGUAAAGCACUUUCAGUGGGGAAGAAAGCCUUGGGGCUAAUACCCUCGAGGAAGGACAUCACCCACAGAAGAAGCACCGGCUAACUCCGUGCCAGCAGCCGCGGUAAUACGGAGGGUGCGAGCGUUAAUCGGAAUUACUGGGCGUAAAGCGCGCGUAGGCGGUCUGAUAAGCCGGUUGUGAAAGCCCCGGGCUCAACCUGGGAACGGCAUCCGGAACUGUCAGGCUAGAGUGCAGGAGAGGAAGGUAGAAUUCCCGGUGUAGCGGUGAAAUGCGUAGAGAUCGGGAGGAAUACCAGUGCCGAAGGCGGCCUUCUGGACUGACACUGACGCUGAGGUGCGAAAGCGUGGGUAGCAAACAGGAUUAGAUACCCGUGUAGUC
rnacentral:rRNA from 1 species